rnacentral:sRNA from 1 species
UGUCAUUCACAAUAGAGAAUUUCUACAAGUGCUCAUAUUAAUUUGUGAAAAACAUAUCAUGGCAAUCCUGACCAUAGAUGUUCUACAUAAGCCUGCACUGGUAAUUUAAUCAGAACUUUGUUGUUGGAUAUAUGUCAUUUUCAUAAAAAUUUCUUGGAACUGCACUAUAUAGUACUAAAAUAAAAGACAGCUUACAUAAACUAAAUCAGUGGAUAGGCGUAUCCAAAACACUGUAUAUUACGAAAAUGAAACAAGGGCUUAUUCUUGACUGCUGAUGUACUUCGAGCUAAAAAAAAGGACUAAAAAAUUUUGACAGCAUUUUCUACAAUCAAAUUUUGACCGUGAGACAUGCAUUCGCUGUAUACUGCAGUUUUGAGAUUUGUAAUGUGGUCUGAGAGACAUCAAUAAAAGAAAUCCACCAAUGCCAGAGAUUUUCAGAUGAGAACAAUUAUUAGGUAGGAAUGUUCCUGGUACGUUUCCCGAUGGCAGUGGGCCUUCUGGACAUCAACGGUAGAAACUGGAAGACAUCCGUCAUUCUUUUGUUCCUGUGAUUUCACAACGAACUGUUAAAACAAUUCAAAAUAAAAAGUAAAAAUGUGCCAAAGCUUUCUAAAUAAAAAUUAAAUUGUCUGAUCGUGCGACAUGAGCUUUACAGAUAACAGAACUAAA